rnacentral:rRNA from 1 species
GACGAACGCUGACGGCGUGCUUAACACAUGCAAGUCGAACGGAAAGGCCCCAGCUUGCUGGGGUACUCGAGUGGCGAACGGGUGAGUAACACGUGAGUGAUCUGCCCUGUACUUCGGGAUAAGCUUGGGAAACUGGGUCUAAUACCGGAUAGGACCAUCCUUUAGUGUGUGGUGGUGGAAAGAUUUUUUGGUACAGGAUGAGCUCGCGGCCUAUCAGCUUGUUGGUGGGGUAAUGGCCUACCAAGGCGUCGACGGGUAGCCGGCCUGAGAGGGUGGACGGCCACAUUGGGACUGAGAUACGGCCCAGACUCCUACGGGAGGCAGCAGUGGGGAAUAUUGCACAAUGGGCGGAAGCCUGAUGCAGCGACGCCGCGUGAGGGAUGACGGCCUUCGGGUUGUAAACCUCUUUCGACAGGGACGAAGCUUUUGUGACGGUACCUGUAUAAGAAGCACCGGCUAACUACGUGCCAGCAGCCGCGGUAAUACGUAGGGUGCGAGCGUUGUCCGGAAUUACUGGGCGUAAAGAGCUCGUAGGUGGUUUGUCGCGUCGUCUGUGAAAUUCCGGGGCUUAACUCCGGGCGUGCAGGCGAUACGGGCAUAACUUGAGUGCUGUAGGGGAGACUGGAAUUCCUGGUGUAGCGGUGAAAUGCGCAGAUAUCAGGAGGAACACCGAUGGCGAAGGCAGGUCUCUGGGCAGUUACUGACGCUGAGGAGCGAAAGCAUGGGUAGCGAACAGGAUUAGAUACCCUGGUAGUCCAUGCCGUAAACGGUGGGCGCUAGGUGUGGGCUGCUUCCACGUGGUCCGUGCCGUAGCUAACGCAUUAAGCGCCCCGCCUGGGGAGUACGGCCGCAAGGCUAAACUCAA